CCUACGGGGGGCAGCAGUGGGGAAUAUUGCACAAUGGGGGAAACCCUGAUGCAGCGACGCCGCGUGAGUGAAGAAGUAAUUCGUUACGUAAAGCUCUAUCAGCAGGGAAGAAACACUGACCUUACGGUCAGCAGACGGUACCUGAGUAAGAAGCCCCGGCUAACUACGUGCCAGCAGCCGCGGUAAUACGUAGGGGGCAAGCGUUAUCCGGAUUUACUGGGUGUAAAGGGAGCGUAGGCGGUGUGCCAAGUCUGGUGUGAAAUGCCGCAGCAUAACUGCGGAGGGUCAUUGGAAACUGGAGAACUAGAGUGCAGGAGAGGUAAGUGGAAUUCCAAGUGUAGCGGUGAAAUGCGUAGAGAUAAGGAGGAACACCAGUGGCGAAGGCGGCUUACUGGACCGUAACUGACGCUGAGGUGCGAAAGCGUGGGGAGCAAACAGGAUUAGAUACCCGAGUAGUC
rnacentral:rRNA from 1 species